UACGUAGGGGGCGAGCGUUAUCCGGAAUUACUGGGCGUAAAGCGCUUGUAGGCGGUUCUGCAAGUCUGGGGUGAAAUCCCCGGGCCUAACCUGGGAACUGCAUUUGUGACUGCAUAGCUAGAGUCUGUCAGAGGGGGGUGGAAUUCCACGUGUAGCAGUGAAAUGCGUAGAGAUGUGGAGGAACACCGAUGGCGAAGGCAGCCCCCUGGGAUAAGACUGACGCUCAUGUACGAAAGCGUGGGGAGCAAACAGG
rnacentral:rRNA from 1 species